CUCCAUUUCAGUUAUUGGUGGUGAAUUGUUGCCCUCCUUGACAGCAUCCAGGAAAGGUCGUUACUUUUCCAAAACACAAGUAGGACUUCACAAGCCUCAGCCUUGAAGAGUGUUCCUGGGAGCUUCCAGGCCCUUCAGGCAAAUGUGAAGAACUCUUGUCCAGUGGAGGGGAUACUGAAGGGAUCCUCACCUGGGAGAGAGGGGAGGCGCUGUUUGGGUCUACUCCAGCGCAGAGCGAGGUCAAUCUAACAUGGCCACAGGAAGACGUAAGAGCCACAGAGCAAGUGGAGAGAACUCAAAAGAAGACAAUUGAAUGGAGGUCCAGAAAACUCAACCUGUCUGCAAGGAGUGAAGGCAAGAAACCUGUGCCUGGUGACACAGCAGGUGUGAAGCACAUGUUCCAACAAAAUACCUUUUUAUCAACUUAAUUAGCACCUGGGAUCACAGGCUGGUGAUGCAAGAGCUAGAAGCUGAAGCAUGAACUCUACAAAACCUUCCUUCCCCACAGGAACAUCUCUCAUCUCCUCCAGCUUCUUCCAGAGUAAGGUUACCUGUCAUUUAUUCUUGUUGUUACCUCUUGGCCUUACCACUCUUUCUCUUGGA
rnacentral:lncRNA from 1 species